rnacentral:rRNA from 1 species
AACGAACGCUGGCGGCAUGCCUAACACAUGCAAGUCGAACGAGACCUUCGGGUCUAGUGGCGCACGGGUGCGUAACGCGUGGGAACCUGCCCUUAGGUUCGGAAUAACUCCCCGAAAGGGGUGCUAAUACCGGAUAAUGUCUUCGGACCAAAGAUUUAUCGCCUUUGGAUGGGCCCGCGUUGGAUUAGCUAGUUGGUAGGGUAAAAGCCUACCAAGGCGACGAUCCAUAGCUGGUCUGAGAGGAUGAUCAGCCACACUGGGACUGAGACACGGCCCAGACUCCUACGGGAGGCAGCAGUGGGGAAUAGUGGACAAUGGGCGAAAGGCUGAUCCAGCAAUGACGCGUGAGUGAUGAAGGCAUUAGGGUUGUAAAGCUCUUUUAACCGGGAUGAUAAUGACAGUACCGGGAGAAUAAGCUCCGGCUAACUCCGUG